rnacentral:rRNA from 1 species
UAAGGAAUAUUGGUCAAUGGACGAAAGUCUGAACCAGCCAUGCCGCGUGAAGGAUGAAGGCCCUCUGGGUUGUAAACUUCUUUUAUAGGGGACGAAAAAAGGGCAUUCUUGCUCACUUGACGGUACCCUAGGAAUAAGCACCGGCUAACUCCGUG